UUUUCUUUUUUCAUCAGCAUUCAGUACCGAAAACCCUUGUUGCGUCUCUUCCCCCAUUUCAAUUUUCUGCAAAUUUUUUUGGGUGAAGAGUGAUAUGGAAAGGGUAACACAGAAAGAGAUUGGUAGUAGUAGUACUAGUAGUAGUAGUAGUAAUAGGAAACAAAUCCCAGAUUCAGUGAUGGAAGCAGUGAACAGAACCUCAAAAAACAUGGACGAUUUGAGUAGUAAUGUAGACGAAUUUCUGUCUCUGUAUGGCGCUGGUGUUUUUCCCGAUUUGGGUCCUCUACAACAAGCUCAAUCUUUGAUUUUGCUGGCUAAAGCUACAACAACACUCUUUGCAUUGAGGCUUAGGUGUAAAGGGAUCAACCCAGAUGACCGUCCUGUCAAAUUAGAGUUUGAACGUUUGAGCUUGUUCCAAGAGAAAUUGCAGGAAUUGAUGGACUUGAAUAAAGCGCCAUUGCGACCAUCAGCAAGGAUAAAUCCGCAAGGUGCUGCUCGAUUUAUCGAGCAUUCGUUGCCUGAUCUUACACCUGAGCAGAGAAAAAGCAUGAGAGAAAUCAGUAAAGCUGACGGGCCUAGGAUUAAGUAUCUGGAAAGAGUUGUUCAUAAGAAGAGGAAGUAUUCCGACCAGCAAUCUGUUCGAACUGCUACCCAGGAGUUCCUUGAGAAAGCUGCCCGUGAACUUCUUGGUGAAAACCAGAGUGGUUUUAAGGGACCUUUACAACUGCCAGAGGGUGAUGAUGAAGACAUACCUAUGAGCUGAUUUUCUGGAACUGUCUGAUGCAGCUUCAUAUGGACCAAGUUUAACACGCUCUUCUGAUGAUGGAGAUACUAAGGACUUCCAUUUUGUUUUUUUGAAACAUCAAGAGAUACUAAGAACAUACAUAUAAUUCAACUCUAUUAGUUGGCUCCGUCUUUUUUCUAUGAAAGAAUUGAACAACACGUGUUUAAGAGCAAAGCAUGUGCAGCACAUGUUCUGAAAAAACUGCUUUUAUGUGUUGGCCUUUUGGACCAUGUCAAGAAGAUGUAUGCUGUAUAGAGAUUCUCUUCUGCUGAUGAAGCCAUGCAGGUGCGCACCAGAUUUUGUGCUGAUGAGCUUUUCAAGCAUUUUGUUCCAGUUCCAACAUAUGAUGAAGAUACUCGGAUCAUACACAAGCUUUGCAGCAAUUGCUACUUUAGCCGCUAAUCGUUGAUGCAAGUUAUAAUUUAAUAGAGUCUGCUUUCGGUUUUCAGCUAUGAAUCCAAAGUUGCUCCGUUUUUCUGUAAGGUUUGUUUAUUGUAAGAGAAAGCUGGCAGUUACAUGUACAAUAGUGCAGCAGAAACUAGAAAUUAUCUUUUUUGUAGUUUCAUUUGUUUUCAAUAGAUCCUGUUGCAGUAGCAGCUAAAAGCUGGGAUUUUUUUUAUUACACUUUCUAUGACAAGAUGAUUAUAUGGUCAGUGUAGAAGAAAAGCAAGCAUGUUCCAGAUUCAGCUUUCAA